GAUGAACGCUGGCGGCGUGCCUAAUACAUGCAAGUCGAGCGAACGGACGAGAAGCUUGCUUCUCUGAUGUUAGCGGCGGACGGGUGAGUAACACGUGGAUAACCUACCUAUAAGACUGGGAUAACUUCGGGAAACCGGAGCUAAUACCGGAUAAUAUUUUGAACCGCAUGGUUCAAAAGUGAAAGACGGUCUUGCUGUCACUUAUAGAUGGAUCCGCGCUGCAUUAGCUAGUUGGUAAGGUAACGGCUUACCAAGGCAACGAUGCAUAGCCGACCUGAGAGAGUGAUCGGCCACACUGGAACUGAGACACGGUCCUGGCUCCUACGGGAGGCAGCAGUAGGCAAUCUGCCGCAAUGGGCGAAAGCCUGACGGAGCAACGCCGCGUGAGUGAUGGAGGUCUUCGGAUCGUAAAACUCUGUUAUUAGUGAAGAACAUAUGUGUAAGUAACUGUGCACAUCGUGACGGUACCUAAUCAGAAAGCCACGGCUAACUACGUG
rnacentral:rRNA from 1 species